rnacentral:sRNA from 1 species
ACGCCGGGCGUUAACCGUCCAUUAGGCUUUACGGAUGUUUACUAUGUUCAUCCAGUGAUCUGGAUUCUUGCCGGGUGGUUGGAGCCACCCUGUUUGACGCCUCCCUGUUAACUCCUGAGAGCCGCUUUACCGCGGCUCUUUUUUU